rnacentral:rRNA from 1 species
AUUGAACGCUGGCGGCAGGCCUAACACAUGCAAGUCGAACGAGUGGCGGACGGGUGAGUAAUGUCUGGGAACCUGCCUGAUGGAGGGGGAUAACUACUGGAAACGGUAGCUACUACCGCAUACCAUCGGAUGUUCCCCGAUGGGAUUAGCUAGUAGGUGGGGUAACGGCUCACCUAGGCGACGAUCCCUAGCUGGUCUGAGAGGAUGACAAGCCACACUGGAACGGAGACACGGUCCAGACUCCUACGGGAGGCAGCAGUGGGGAAUAGUGCACAAUGGGCGCAAGCCUGAUGCAGCCAUGCCGCGUGUAUGAAGAAGGCCUUCGGGUUGUAAAGUACUUUCAGCGGGGAGGCGUUACCCGCAGAAGAAGAACCGGCUAACUCCGGUCCAGCCGCCGCGGUAAUUC